AAAAUCAAUUAGAAUUUGAAAUGUCGUAUGACGAGAAGAGUAUUUUCGUUCAGGAUAAAACUGUGGCUGUCGAUACUUUUUUAAAAUCAGGUGGAUCUCUUGACAUUUGACAUGUUCCUGACAUUGGACAUUCUGUUACCAAUUCAUACAAAUCAACGCUUCUGAGAUUCGAAGUUCUAUAGUUAAUUUGGUUGUUCAAAUUUUCUCUGACACAAGUUUGAAAUCUUAUAUUGAAAUAAAAUCGUUGGUCAGUUAAGUAUUUUAUGUAACUAUAAACUAUAAAAUCCUUUUUAUGUCUUCCUUGAUAUUUCAUAAACAGGUGUGUAAAUUCAUGUUAAAUAUUAACAAGAACGUUUUGAAUUUGGAUAUUUUGUUCUGAGUUCUCUUUUAAACUGUUGAAAUAAGUCUCUAUUUCUGUUAUUCUCUAUUUCUUUGUUUUUGUGGAAGCCGUCUCUGUAUUUGAAUCCUUUAUGUAUAAGAAAAGCGUUGUUUAAAAC
rnacentral:lncRNA from 1 species